rnacentral:tRNA from 1 species
CAAAAUGUAGCUUAAUUACUAAAGCAUUUAGUUUACACCUAAAAGAUUUCAGCCUAUCUGACCAUUUUGA